CCUACGGGCGGCAGCAGUAGGGAAUAUUGCGCAAUGGGCGAAAGCCUGACGCAGCGACGCCGCGUGGGUGAUGAAGGCCUUCGGGUUGUAAAACCCUGUCCUUGGGGAAGAAGGAAGUGACGGUACCCAAGGAGGAAGCCCCGGCUAACUACGUGCCAGCAGCCGCGGUAAAACGUAGGGGGCGAGCGUUGUCCGGAAUUACUGGGCGUAAAGGGUGCGUAGGCGGCCUUUUAAGUCAGAUGUGAAAGACCACGGCUUAACCGUAGUGAGCCUCUGAAACUGGUGAACUUGAGUGUAGGAGAGGAAAGUGGAAUUCCCAGUGUAGCGGUGAAAUGCGUAGAUAUUGGGAGGAACACCAGUGGCGAAGGCGACUUUCUGGACUACAACUGACGCUGAGGCACGAAAGCGUGGGGAGCAAACAGGAUUAGAUACCCGGGUAGUCAC
rnacentral:rRNA from 1 species